rnacentral:tRNA from 1 species
GUCCAAAUAGCUUAUAUAGAGUAUGACACUGAAGAUGUUAGGGAGAUUUUAGGAUCUUUGGACA